GAUGAAGAACGUAGCGAAAUGCGAUAAGAAGUGUGAAUUGCAGAAUUCAGUGAAUCAUCGAAUCUUUGAACGCACAUUGCGCCCCUUGGUAUUCCAUGGGGCAUGCCUGUUCGAGCGUCAUUUGUACCUUCAAGCCUUGCUUGGUGUUGGGUGUUUGUCUCGCCUCUGCGCGCAGACUCGCCUCAAAACAAUUGGCAGCCGGCGUAUUGAUUUCGGAGCGCAGUACAUCUCGCGCUUUGCACUCAGAACGACGACGUCCAAAAGUACAUUUUUACACUCUUGACCUCGGAUCAGGUAGGGAUACCCGCUGAACUUAAGCAUAUCAAUAAGCGGAGGA
rnacentral:misc_RNA from 1 species